rnacentral:misc_RNA from 1 species
CCUUGAAGCAUUGAAAACUUUUUAUUUAUUUAAAGGAAAUUUUUUAUUUUCAAACGAUUUCGAAAUGAUUUUAAUUCAAAUUAAACAAAUUCAAGUCAAUUUUGAUUAGGUUUUAGGCAAUAUUAAACCGAACCGAUUUCCUGCCGAAGUGUACCGUGGGCAGGUCCUAGUCCAGUACUACUUUAUAAACCUAAGCACCAUCACUCUUCCACAGCCUCACUCUCCCUGAUGUGGCCGGGGUGGUUGAGAUCACCAGGUAGGGCUUACAUCUCCUCCAAACAACCACCAUCACCAAUGCACUUCUCUUGCUCAUCCUUCAAGGAUAUCAAUACCCUUCUCCUAGAAGAACCUCAAAAUGAAUCCAAAUCCGAAACCCAAUCUCCCAGAAGACCCAGCAUUUUCCACCGGGUCCGAAUCGCCACUUCACUCCUCCACCACCGCCACCACUCAAAAACAUCCAUCAUUUCACCACCUCCUAACCAUGAUUACCACCACAUCACCCUCUACUUCACAAGUCUCCGCAUUGUCCGCAAGACAUUUGAGGAUUGCAGGACCGUCAGAUCAAUCCUCCGUGGAUUUCGCGUCCCAGUCGAUGAACGAGAUUUGUCCAUAGAUAGUAGGUACCUAGACGAGUUACAGAGGAUCUCAGGGUCCAAAAAGGUAAGCUUGCCUGUAGUUUUCAUCGGAGGCAAACAUGUUGGUGGGGCCAAGGAGAUCAAGGAGAUGAAUGAAAGUGGAGAAUUGAGGAAGCUGAUUGGUGGGUUACCGUUUGUAGAAAACAGUAGUGGUUGUGAUCUUUGCGGAGGGCUGAGAUUUGUUCUCUGUGAACAGUGCAAUGGCAGCCAUGAGAUUUACUCGGAGAAGCUCGGGUUUAGAACUUGCACAUCUUGCAAUGUAAGCGGCAUGAUUAGGUGUGGCCUAUGUUUUCCGGUGGACCAGCUACCUUGACAAUGUAGCCCUCAAUUUUACAAUAAGAAAGAGGAAAAGAAAAUAAUAGAAUGGUAUUAGCAGUUUUUUUUUCUUUUUUU